rnacentral:rRNA from 1 species
CCUACGGGAGGCAGCAGUGGGGAAUAUUGGGCAAUGGGCGCAAGCCUGACCCAGCAACGCCGCGUGAAGGAAGCAGGCUUUCGGGUUGUAAACUUCUUUUAAGAGGGAAGAGCAGAAGACGGUACCUCUUGAAUAAGCCACGGCUAACUACGGGCCAGCAGCCGCGGUAAUACGUAGGUGGCAAGCGUUGUCCGGAUUUACUGGGUGUAAAGGUCGUGUAGCCGGGCUGACAAGUCAGAUGUGAAAUUCCGGGGCUCAACCUCGGACCUGCAUUUGAAACUGUUGGUCUUGAGUAUGGGAGAGGCAGGCGGAAGUCCUAGUGUAGCGGUGAAAUGCGUAGAUAUUAGGAGGAACACCAGUGGCGAAGGCGGCCUGCUGGACGACAACUGACGGUGAGGCGCGAAAGCGUGGGUAGCAAACAGGAUUAGAUACCCUUGUAGUC